rnacentral:misc_RNA from 1 species
AACCGUAGACUUUUGUCUGUUUUGGGCGCCGCGCCCGCGCGUCGCCUCGAAGCCAUUGCUGUCUAGCGGAUGGGAUCCUUUAGGACGACGCCGUUUUGACUCUGGACCUUUCUCU